UACGUAGGGGGCGAGCGUUGUCCGGAAUCAUUGGGCGUAAAGCGCGUGUAGGCGGCCCGGUAAGUCCGCUGUGAAAGUCCAGGGCUCAACCCUGGGAUGCCGGUGGAUACUGUCGGGCUCGAGUCCGGAAGAGGCGAGUGGAAUUCCUGGUGUAGCGGUGAAAUGCGCAGAUAUCAGGAGGAACACCAAUGGCGAAGGCGGCUCGCUGGGACGUGACUGACGCUGAGACGCGAAAGCGUGGGGAGCAAACAGG
rnacentral:rRNA from 1 species